GAUGAACGCUGGCGGCGUGCUUAACACAUGCAAGUCGAACGGUGAAGCAGGAGCUUGCUCUUGUGGAUCAGUGACGAACGGGUGAGUAACACGUGAGCAACCUGCCCCUGACCCUGGGAUAAGCGCUGGAAACGGCGUCUAAUACUGGAUAUGUGAUGUGACCGCAUGGUCUGCAUCUGGAAAGAAUUUCGGUUGGGGAUGGGCUCGCGGCCGAUCAGCUUGUUGGUGAGGUAAUGGCUCACCACGGCGUCGACGGGUAGCCGGCCUGGGAGGGUGACCGGCCACACUGGGACUGAGACACGGCCCAGACUCCUACGGGAGGCAGCAGUGGGGAAUAUUGCACAAUGGGCGGAAGCCUGAUGCAGCAACGCCGCGUGAGGGAUGACGGCCUUCGGGUUGUAAACCUCUUUUAGCAGGGAAGAAGCGAAAGUGACGGUACCUGCAGAAAAAGCACCGGCUAACUACGUGCCAGCAGCCGCCGUAA
rnacentral:rRNA from 1 species